rnacentral:rRNA from 1 species
CUACGGGUGGUUGCAGUGGGGAAUAUUGCACAAUGGAGGAAACUCUGAUGCAGCAACGCCGCGUGGAGGAUGACACUUUUCGGAGCGUAAACUCCUUUUAUAUAGGAAGAAGAUGACGGUACUAUAUGAAUAAGCGCCGGCUAACUCCGUGCCAGCAGCCGCGGUAAUACGGAGGGCGCAAGCGUUACUCGGAAUCACUGGGCGUAAAGAGCGUGUAGGCGGAUUAAAAAGUCAGAAGUGAAAUCCUAUAGCUUAACUAUAGAACUGCUUCUGAAACUCUUAAUCUAGAAUAUGGGAGAGGUAGAUGGAAUUUCUGGUAUAGGGGUAAAAUCCGUAGAGAUCAGAAGGAAUACCGAUUGCGAAGGCGAUCUACUAGAACAUUAUUGACGCUGAGACGCGAAAGCGUGGGGAGCAAACAGGAUUAGAUACCCUAGUAGUC